GAUGAACGCUGGCGGCGUGCUUAACACAUGCAAGUCGAACGGAAAGGCUCCUGCUUGCAGGGGUACUCGAGUGGCGAACGGGUGAGUAACACGUGUGUGAUCUGCCCUGCACUUCGGGAUAAGCCUGGGAAACUGGGUCUAAUACCGGAUAGGACGAUGGUUUGGAUGCCAUUGUGGGAAGUUUUUCGGUUUGGGAUGAGCUCGCGGCCUAUCACCUUGUUGGUGGGGUAAUGGCCUACCAAGGCGUCGACGGGUAGCCGGCCUGUGAGGGUGUACGGCCACAUUGGGACUGAGAUACGGCCCAGACUCCUACGGGAGGCAGCAGUGGGGAAUAUUGCACAAUGGGCGCAAGCCUGAUGCAGCGACGCCGCGUGGGGGAUGACGGCCUUCGGGUUGUAAACUCCUUUCGCUAGGGACGAAGCGCAAGUGACGGUACCUGGAGAAGAAGCACCGGCUAACUACGUG
rnacentral:rRNA from 1 species